rnacentral:tRNA from 1 species
GCUGGUUUAGCUUAGUGGUAAAGCUUCUGCAUCGUAAGCGGAAAGACGGUGGUUCGAUUCCAUUCAGCCAGCA